CAAACAACAUUAAGAGGAUUUAUUUCAUAACUAUUUCAACAGGUGUUUCCUAGAGAAAACCGAAGCAAGAAGUCUCUAAACUGAUACUGGAUCAUCAUGUCCAUCUGGGAGGCUUCAAUCUUUUCUAUGAUCGUCCACUGGUGCUGCAUCCAAGGACUGUUUCACCAAGGACAUGUGCAGUCAACCACUGUGGUGAAGUGCUACUCUCCUCCGACCUGCAAUGGCUUUAACUAUGACUCGCACGUUAACUCCUGCUGCAGUAACCAGAUUUACAAGGGCACUGGGCUGUGCUGCUGUGGAAAAAGUUCCUACAAUGCCAUCCAGGACACUUGCUGUAAUGGCAACCUCACCAGGGGUCUAAGUGAGCUGGUGUCGCUUUGCUGUGGUUCAGUGGCAUAUAACCCCCUGAAUGAGAUAUGCUGCAGAUCUUAUGUUUACCCUCGACAGGCCCAUUCAGGUUGCUGUGGGAAAGGUGGGAGAACAUAUCUGUAUAGCAGGUUGAAGUAAAACAGUGAAAUGGUCCCCCUCCUAAUGGCAC
rnacentral:lncRNA from 1 species